UAGAGGAAUAACGUACGAUAUCUCGCCAUUAUCUCCGCGGUCUCCGGACGGAGUUUGUUAUCAUAACGGCCUGGAGCGGCCCGGUGACCGCUGUUUUGUUUAUCGGACGAUUCAUGAACGAUCCCGAUGCUCCGCGAGCUAAUGGAAGGAAUUACGCUUGCAGUUCUUAUCUAAUGGAUAGUUGAAAGGGGAGACAGGAAAAUUUCAGUACGUAGAAAAUUCGAAUUGCAAGUAACGAGGAGUGACCGGAAACUGCGAGUCUUUAGGUGAAGAUUUUGGAAAAAAGAAAAAAAAAAAAACUAACUGUCGGAAGAGAGUAUUUUUUAGCAGUUUUUGGCGGGAAAGUCUCAUAGAACCCUGCUAGAAAUAUAUAGAAAGUUUUUCUUUAAAGUGAGAACCCACGUUUUUAAAAAUUAUUUUCCACUUCCUCGGUCAAAAUGAAGCAUAUCUCGUCAAAUAAUAUACAAGCGCAACCUCUAUUGUUUACGAGAAAAAAAUUCCUAAAGAAAAGAAAGAUAAAUGUUUUGACAAAUAGCGAUUCACGAAAAAUGUUCUUAUAGGAUUCGUCUUUAUUUCAAAACGUUUUGCGGCUGAUUGAGUAAUAGCU